AUUGAACGCUGGCGGCAGGCCUAACACAUGCAAGUCGGGUGAGUGGCGGACGGGUGAGUAAUGUAUGGGGAUCUGACUGAUGGAGGGGGAUAACUACUGGUAACGGUAGCUAAUAUCGCAUACUAUCAGAUGAACCAAUAUGGGAUUAGCUUGUAGGUAAGGUAACGGCUUACCUAGGCGACGAUCCCUAGCUGGUCUGAGAGGAUGAUCAGCCACACUGGGACUGAGACACGGCCCAGACGCCUACGUGAGGCAGCAGUGGGGAAUAUUGCACAAUGGGCGCAAGCCUGAUGCAGCCAUGCCGCGUGUAUGAAGAAGGCCUUCGGGUUGUAAAGUACUUUCAGUCGGGAGGCGUUACCGACAGAAGAAGCACCGGCUAACUCCGUGCCAGCAGCCGCGGUAAUAC
rnacentral:rRNA from 1 species